GGGAGGUGUUAUCAGUUCGGGUAGGAACCUCCUUAGGGAGGGGCAGACCUCGCACCCAUCUCCCAGGCCCGGGCUCCAGGGAGAUCCUGAGGUUGGCGCUGUUGUCGAGCCCCCCAAGGAGUUGGCUGGCAGCUGGGACUGCUGUUACAAAGAGUGGCAAGAAGAAUUACUCUGGUGAAACAUUUUACUGUGAACAUAGUGGGUACAGAAUCUCAUCCAAAAGCAUCUGUCUAAACUACUCUCAAGUUUGCCCUGACUGGAAUGUAAACUUCCUAAGGAGAAAACUUUCAAAAAUGUUCAUCCACAUUUGCAGCUUCCAUGCUAUGAAAUAUCUUUGUGUGUGAACAGAAGACACAUUUCAGUUUCUUAAGCUAAAAGCGGCCA